rnacentral:rRNA from 1 species
UACGAAGGGUGCAAGCGUUACUCGGAAUUACUGGGCGUAAAGCGUGCGUAGGUGGUUCGUUAAGUCUGAUGUGAAAGCCCUGGGCUCAACCUGGGAAUGGCAUUGGAAACUGGCGACCUAGAGUGCGGUAGAGGGUAGUGGAAUUCCCGGUGUAGAGGUGAAAUUCGUAGAUAUCGGGAGGAACACCAGUGGCGAAGGCGGCGAUCUGGGAAGAUACUGACGCUGAGGUGCGAAAGCGUGGGGAGCAAACAGG